rnacentral:rRNA from 1 species
GCGGUGGAGCAUGUGGUUUAAUUCGACGCAACGCGAAGAACCUUACCAGGGCUUGACAUCCCCUGACCGCGUAUGAAAGUACGUUUUCACCCUCGGGUGACAGGGAGACAGGUGGUGCAUGGUUGUCGUCAGCUCGUGUCGUGAGAUGUUGGGUUAAGUCCCGCAACGAGCGCAACCCCUACGUUUAGUUGCUAACAGGUGAAGCUGAGCACUCUAGACGAACUGCCGUUGACAAAACGGAGGAAGGUGGGAUGACGUCAAAUCAUCAUGCCCCUUAUGUUCUGGGCUACACACGUGCUACAAUGGCCGGUACAGACGGAGGCGAAGCCGCGAGGUGGAGCAAAUCCGAAAAAGCCGGUCUCAGUUCGGAUUGCAGGCUGCAAUUCGCCUGCAUGAAGUCGGAAUCGCUAGUAAUCGCAGGUCAGCAUACUGCGGUGAAUACGUUCCCGGGCCUU